UACGAAGGGGGCUAGCGUUGCUCGGAUUUACUGGGCGUAAAGGGCGCGUAGGCGGACAGUUUAGUCAGAGGUGAAAGCCCAGGGCUCAACCUUGGAAUUGCCUUUGAUACUGGCUGUCUUGAGUACGGGAGAGGUGAGUGGAACUCCGAGUGUAGAGGUGAAAUUCGUAGAUAUUCGGAAGAACACCAGUGGCGAAGGCGACUCACUGGCCCGGUACUGACGCUGAGGUGCGAAAGCGUGGGGAGCAAACAGG
rnacentral:rRNA from 1 species